rnacentral:misc_RNA from 1 species
UUGGUGUCGCUACCCUCCUCGUCCUCCUCGGGCUUGGCAUGGGUGGGGUUCGCGGGGUGCGAGGGCGACACGGAGGUGGAUUGGAACCGCGAAGGCCAUCGUCACGCGGGCCUCAUCGACGUCCUCGUCGUCGGGCUUAGCACGAGUGGGAAGCGGGGGGCGGCGAAGGCGGAUCGAAGCCGCGGAGGGUCGGGGACUGCGGGGGAGGUUAGGGAUUGGGUACAGCCCAGAAGAAGAGACCAAUCCACGCCAGCCCGGCAGAGAGGUGGAAGACGAGUCGCGGAGAAGGAUUCCUCCGGCGUGUUCGGAAGAGAGGAGUCGACGAGCGGGGUUGGAGCGGAGGCGCCGCAGGAUUUGGGAAUUCGGGGGCACAGGCGUGGAGCGCUGAUGUCAAUGGACAAGAAAUGGUGUGAGCACUCCCUACUUCCCCCAAUCACAACGCUGGGUCGGACGGUCGGCGUUGGCGGUGGGCGAAAUCGGGGACAGGACUGUAGGAGAUCCACCUGUGCCCACGACGAUGGAGCCCAGCAUGGACCCUCGUUGCCGCUACUUCUUCAUCUUCCCGGAGCAGUCCACCACGGGCGCCUUGGUCAGCAGCUCCAUUGCGACGCGACGAGGGCGAGGUUCACAGCCCCUGCCUCUGGCCUUCCUUGGCUCUUGGUGCUAGAGGCGCAGAGCGCGGAGGUGGGGUGA